GCAGAAGAAAAGGCAUGAACCUGGGAGUCGGACUGCAUUAGAAUCACCCAUCUGCAGCUCUAAAGGGGGACCUGGGAGCAAGGGAUUUCUCAGUUCUCUCAUCUGUCAAAUAUAAGCAUCCCUCCCGCUGUUUCUCAGUCUGGCUUUUGGCCAGGAAUGAGGAGUCCCCUCAGAGCAGCUGAAAGAUCCAGAGAUGCCAUGCAGGUGGAUGGCCAGUCUUGAGGCCUGGCAGCUGCAGGACCACCCCAAACCCCCCACGCAGAGGGGCACAACUCACCACUGGCAGAGGCCAGGAUCAUGGCCUGCAGCAUCUCCGUGUCAAACUGGUUGUUGGGCCACGUGCCAGUCUCAUCGCCAUUCUGGGAGCUGCAGAGAGAGUGGGCUGCAGAUAAAUCCUGGGCUCAGAGGGGCUGAGAGAUUCCUGAAGCCACACAGCUGCUCCCUGGCAGAGCUGCAACCUGAGAGAGGCCUCCCUGACUCGGAAGCCCAUGCUCUUCUACACGACACGCCACUG